AGAGACACAGAAUCUCAGUCAUAAUAUAAAAUAGUCACAGAGAUAAAAUUCCAGCAUUUUAUCUGGAAUAAAAUUAGUACUUCUAUGAUACCUUUUUACGUUGACAGUAAUUACACUGGUUGGGGUGAGAUUUAAUAAUGUAUAUAACUCUUGAAUCACUCUUUUGUAUACUUCAGGUGAAGUUAAUAUUGUUUAUCAGCUACAUGUCAGUAAGAAAAUAUAUCCAAGAAAAAGAAAAAAGAAAAAUAUAUCCAGUGCAAAUCUAUGUGGGGAUGAACAUCUCAUUUGUUUCAACUUUUGACAGUGGUGGAAGUGUAUAAUGCAACUUGACAUUCACUUAUGAGUCACAGAUUACUUGAUGAAAUGCCUUUAUCUCCAUAUAAGUUUUGCAUGAAGAAGACUUCUACAGCAGAGAGGUAACAGCACAGAAAGCAGAGGCUGGGAACAGUGGGAGACAAUCUUCAUCUGCUCCACAAUGCACCUAUUGUCUAUGUCAUGUGUGGAGCUAUCUGAAACUUUGCAUGAGAAAAAUAUAUGCAGAACUCAGAGGGACUCGGCAAGUUUUCCUACGGUUCAAGGGCAGCCAGAAUCUUUUCUCAGAAAUAGCAGUUUUUGUACAAAAGGACAAGGAAACUCACAGCAUAUGGUCUCCGCCUAGUCCUCAUGGAGCAGCAUUCACCUGCAUUUGGAAGAUGUCCUUGAACUCCUGUGCAGAUUAGAGUCCAGUUUCCUCAGCUCAUCCUAGACUGACAAUGCUUGAGACCCUUUCCCAGUCUCAGGAGAGAUCCUGAUGAAAACUGUGGAUCAAGUCCCCCAAAAGAGACCCAUAUUUUUACAUAUAAUUUCAGGUCCUGAAAAGCCUGUUCACGAAACCCAAGUUAAGAACACCUACAGCAGAGUUAGGACCAGCAAAACAGGCUUUAGUUUUUGGCUUUCUUCUUUGAAAUAUAAACUUUAUUAUAUUCUGAUUUAGUUUCAUUUUGGCCCACUUUACUCCAAAGAGUGUUUGUGGGCUACAAAGACAUUUUGAGGUGUCCUUUUCUUUCUGUUCCUAGAUCUAUGUUAUAUCAUGACAGUGGGAUAAUUUUAGUAACCUCUGAGAUGUGUUAUUGACACACCUUUUGCUAAUCAGUUACUCAUCACAAUUCUCUAUUCUCCUUGGUGCACUUGCUACCUCUGUUCUUUUAGUGGCAUUCUUUCUAUUUAUAUGCUGAUGCAUUAGCAUACAAAUCUAUAACCACAAAAUAUUUCAUGCAAGAGUCCUAUAAGAAAUUAAUUACUGUACAAAAUGGAGGAAUGUUAGCUGUUAAAUGUUGCUGUGAUUUUAUUAAGACAGCCUGGAAUUUAAUUCAUAAACAUUAGUGAGGUUUUUAUUCAAAUCAUCACAUUUUCACUAUGCAACUAUAAACCUCCUACUUUACCUUUUUCUGUUUUAAGAAUGUAGAAAUGCUUUCAACUUACACAACAACUAUUCCCUUGCAUCUAGAAGGCAAUAACUUCAGCUUUCAAACUUGCUUUGUCAAUUGCCCAUUCUUAGAAAUGGUGGACACAUUUUACACUAUGUGAAUAAUAAUGAACAAUGCUGCCCAGUGAUUUAUAACUCUAAGAGCUUUAAAAUGUGAUUUAUGAACAUAUCUCAAAUUUUCCACUGGCAGUUCAUACAACUAUGAGUACAUUUUCUAGCCAGAUGACUCAGUAUUUUGCUGUAUGACUAAUCCCACACUCUGUGGAAAACUAUAUUAAUGAAUUCUAUUUGCUUGUGGAUAAUAGAUGAUUACUUUCCAAAAACUGUCUGCAAAGCAUUAUGGAGUAGAUGAAUUCAAUUACACUGAUGUUUUAAACUUUCAAACUCAGCAGACUUAUUUUGGGAAGUCUGUAAUGCUCACAAGAAAGAACAUUUUUCCCCCCACAGUAGUUUCAGGAAUUCCACAACCCAUAGGGCAACAGAUCCUAAUCAGGCUCUAAAAUUUCUUAACUGUUACAAGAACAAUUUGGAAUUAUUCCAGUUGAAGUAUUUUCUCUUCCAAUGAUGCCUUUCAGUUAUUUUAAAAUUUUUUAUUAUGAUAAAAUGAGCAUAAAGCCCUUUUCCAGGGAAUAUUUGCUGAAAAUAAUACUUGAUAUUAUUGAACCUAAUUAUUGUUCCUUCAAAAACUCAAAUUUUAAAAAGGCAGUUCUGAUCCAGUCACAUGAUGGCUCCCCUGAUUCUGGCGGUUAGAAAUCACCUCCAAGAUUACAUUAGAUGAUGUAGGUUCCUCCAGAGUACAUAGUUUCCUUACCUUCCAUACAAGAACAUGUGUAUUGUUAGCACAUGGCCUGGUCUUAUACUGUCAUGAAAUAAACAGGCCAUACAUUUCCUUAGUUUCCUUUCAAAUCCUUCCAUGCUAAUUAAUUCUGUGAGUAAAGAACUUCAGUUGGGAACAAGUAGAUUACCAGCCCCAAAUCAGUAUGAUUUACUUCUACUCAUUUAUUGCUAUCACCAUUCUUACCUAAGCUUUUUCUUUUUAAGGAGAUAAUAUUUCAAGGUAAUGUUCUUGUGUGAUUACGGCUUGGGUAGUAUACUUACUUCCAUAUGGGUUUGUUAUAAAAGCUUACAGACAACCUGGGCUACAUUCCAAGGUUUUCCUUCUCUUUGCCCAGAAAUCAUUCUUCUAUUCCGAGUAUUAGUAGCCAGGGCUGGUGGGAGAAGACUAUGGGCAGGGAGCCAUCAGAACUAGUCAGGGUCAGUUUUAACUCUGCAGGGUCAAAAGCAGACCGAGAGCAGGAGGAGCCAGCCUGGGGGACUCAAGGCAUGUUAAUACGAUUAAACCACGAAUGCCAAGGAGAAUUCCUUCUUCUCCCCUCUCUCCAACUCUUACUUUCUCUCCCACAGCUGGUUCCUUUUCCCAGGGUCCUCAGAAAAUUGUUCAGGAACGUAUAUUGAUGAAACAACCAUUAUUGGCCUUUGCUCAGGGUUUAGCUGCCUUUCUGCUCAUCACUUUUAGAGUUAAAUAUCUUUAAAGAUUGUGGACAGAGUUCUUUCCUCUGUUUCCCCUCCUAUUCUGUCUUCAAUCCAUUAGUGUCUGGUUUUAGCCUCUCCCACUACAAUGAAUCAGCUCCCUGGAAGGUUUCCAGAGGUGGACCAGUCACCAGUCCUCAGUCUUCAUCCUCCUAAACCUCAUUUAUGUGUCUGUCCUUAAAAGCCACCAAACUGGAAGGCGUCCCACUUGGCUUCCAUCAUCUUGCCUUCUGUUCUCCUUCUCCAGCCCACAAAUGGAAGUCAUCUCCAAAGUUCUGAUCCCAAUUGUUUCUGCAGUUACUCUUACUCAGUCAUUUCAUCCAUAUCCAUGGCUUCAACUGUAAUUUAGAUCAAUGGCUCCCAGUCUGUCCCUGGUUCUGACUGCCCCACCCAUAUUUUCCAUGGGCUUCCUGGAUAAUUUCACAUGGAUGUCCUUCUAACAUCUCCACCUGAAUGGGUCUCAAACUUAGUUUGUCAUUUCCUUCAAAACUGUCCCUGCACCCUAGCUCAAAACUUGUCAUUCUCAUUUCCUCCCUUUCCCUCAAUUGGAUGCUAUAUAGCUUAGGGUGGAGGCUUCUUUUCUAGUGGUUUCUUUGUGACCCAUAAAUUAGGAAUUUAUGCCACAAUUUCCUAAUUUAUACACUUCUAGGAGAUGUGUCUGCCAUUUUAUUAAAGCCCCUUACUCUUCUCUUUGGGACAUGAAUGACUCAGUGAUGAGGGAAACUGGGGAGGGCCUGCUAGCCACUCAGGGCAGGCCUGAUGUGCAGAAGGUCCCUCCUCAUGUAUGGCCCUGUCUCUUGCUCACUCACGCUGCAUGCCUUGUGGGUUGAAGAUGGUCAGGCCCUUUUUAGCCUCUGGUCUUUAGGUAAGAAACAGCAGGGGAAGGGUCUCUUGUUGCCCUAGUGUUGAGAAGGCCUGUAGUUGUUCAGCUGUGACUGGGUGGGAAUGGAGAAUUCAGGGAAAAGGAGUGACAUCCCAUUUUGGCCUUGACUCACUAAGCCAUUCUCUUCAAUCUGAACUUACCCUGAAUAAAGUGAAUAUUUUACUUUCCCUUUGGUUCCUCAUGUGUGUUCAGUUGAGUUGACAGCACAAAGGGAAGGAGGGUCAUCUUCCACAUACCUGACACCAAAGGUUCUUCAUUAUUUUUCCCAACUCAUUUGUCUUCUCUUGGGUGACAGUGCUAACUCAUGAUCACAAAAAGUCAAAAAAUUAUAUAUACAUUUCCAUCUUGAUUUUCAUUUCUUGAAAGAUUUGGCCAUGGACCUUCCUCCUCCAUCCAUACCCCCAAACUUUAAAUGUUUUUGUGACUUUGAUACAAUGUCAAUUAUGAUUUUUUAAUGAAAACCUAACAGAAAGGAAAAGGCAUACAUUCUACUGAAUUAACAUCUAAAAAGGAUUGAUUGGCCAACUUAAUAUUUAUUAAUUUCCACAAUGGGUUAAUGUCACAUAAAAACAAAGAAGCAAUUAAUAACGUCAUUUGGAGAAGGAAGCGAUAAAUUCACACAAAAAAAUAACACCCCCAAAACAACAGAAAAUAACAAUGGAACCUAAUACUAAAUUCUUGCAAUGAUUUGGUUUCCUUAUUAUUAGUAUCCUUGGGAUAACUGAUCUAAAGUACAGAAAUAAGUGCAUCUAAAAAGAAAUAUCUAUAAUCCUACUGCCUGGCAGUUAAGCAUUUGCCUGCCAAGAAAGAUAAAUGAUGUUACUGUGUGCACUUGAAACUUAUAAAUGGCUGCAGCAGGACUCAGGAUGAUAACAAUUGUGCUGAAGUAAUAGAGUAAUAGUUCAGAGAACCAUAAUUGCUAUUUAGUUGCUUUUU